rnacentral:lncRNA from 1 species
GUGUUUUGAUCGACCAGGAGGGUGCUCCAAGGAGCAAAACCCUAGUUCACACCAAAUGACCAAAUUGAAGCUCGAAUCAAGACUUAAAUCAAUGCAUGAACACAAAUUCGUAAUCACCUAAGUGUGGGGAUCGAAAGUUUGUCGCCUAACGAGCUAGGUGGAGGCUUGAGAAAGAAGCGGUCAAACGAAUCAAGCACGAGAAGAAAAAGCGUAUUCGGAUGCGAGGUAAGUAUAGCUUACACUAGUCUUAGAUUGUGUAAUAUUCUCUUAGCGUAUAAAUAACGAAUGAGAUAACUAAACAAUUGAAAUACGAUGUUCCGUCGUGUAGGCGUACGGAACUAGAUAAUCAAAGAUGAAAGAAACCAUAAUAAUGGUAAAAAAGGAAGUAAAUCGAUAAUUCGGUCAUAUUAUGACGAAAGUGGUAAUAAACGGUUUAUAAGUAAAAUGAUCGUACGGUGUUAAACGGAGCGGGUCAUGUAGAUGAGAUGAUAAUAAAUAUCAUCUCGCAAAGAUAAACGGUCAAUUCGGCCAAACGGGUCAAAAGGUGUAGACAUCACCUUUUGACAAUAUUGACUAAUGAUCUUUUGUCGAGUUAUAUGCUUACAGGAAUAGAAAUCCAAUGGAUACUCGCAUCGCUCUUAUUUAGCGAUUAUAAAGCAAGGUACAUUUUGGAUGCUGGAAGACGAUCAAGCUCAUCGAAGAACCGAACACGAUAAAGAUACAUGCUUCCGCACAUUGCCUCGUCGUAAAUUUUAAACGACAAAUUCGACCACUUAUGUUGAAUAACUUAUGAUUUGUAAAAGUUUUAAUAAACUCGUAUUUUUAUAGUAUGUGUAGUCUUAAUUACACAUCUAAUUGUUGGUAUUUACAUAUAAAACCGUUAAAUAGUAACUAGGGUGUUACAGAGU